rnacentral:rRNA from 1 species
UACGUAGGGAGCGAGCGUUGUCCGGAUUCAUUGGGCGUAAAGAGCGUGUAGGCGGUUUGGUAGGUCCGCUGUGAAAACUCGAGGCUCAACCUCGAGACGCCGGUGGAAACCAUCAGACUAGAGUCCGGAAGAGGAGAGUGGAAUUCCUGGUGUAGCGGUGAAAUGCGCAGAUAUCAGGAAGAACACCCGUGGCUAAGGCGGCUCUCUAGUACGGUACUGACGCUGAGACGCGAAAGCGUGGGGAGCGAACAGG